GAUUUUUCAGUUGGUUUUCCAAUGAUUGACAAUGACGAUAGCGAUUCAUACAUUGUGACUGUUAUGCCUGAUGAAGUCACUUCCACGAAGAUCACUAUUGAACCAACUCAACCAGGACCAGCUAUAAGGAAAGAAAACAUUGCUCCAAAAGCUACUGCUACUUGUGAAACUACUGCAGCUACAGAAAGUAGCAGC